rnacentral:rRNA from 1 species
CCUACGGGAGGCAGCAGUGGGGAAUAUUGCACAAUGGGGGAAACCCUGAUGCAGCGACGCCGCGUGAAGGAAGAAGUAUUUCGGUAUGUAAACUUCUAUCAGCAGGGAAGAAAAUGACGGUACCUGACUAAGAAGCCCCGGCUAACUACGUGCCAGCAGCCGCGGUAAUACGUAGGGGGCAAGCGUUAUCCGGAUUUACUGGGUGUAAAGGGAGCGUAGGCGGUGCAGCAAGUCAGAAGUGAAAGCCCGGGGCUUAACUGCGGGACUGCUUUUGAAACUGGUGAACUAGAGUGCGGGAGAGGUAAGUGGAAUUCCUAGUGUAGCGGUGAAAUGCGUAGAUAUUAGGAGGAACACCAGUGGCGAAGGCGGCUUACUGGACUGUAAAUGACGCUGAGGCUCGAAAGCGUGGGGAGCAAACAGGAUUAGAUACCCGUGUAGUC